rnacentral:rRNA from 1 species
CGCUGGCGGCACGCCUAAUACAUGCAAGUCGAACGAAGUAGCAAUACUUAGUGGCAGACGGGUGAGUAACAUGUAGGUAUCUUCCCUUUGGCCUGGAAUAACAUGAGGAAACUUAUGCUAAUACCGGAUAAGUCUUUACGGAGAAAGCUUUAUGCACCAUUGGAUGAGCCUGCACUUGAUUAGUUUGUUGGUGGGGUAAUGGCCUACCAAGACAAUGAUCAAUAGCUGAUUUGAGAGGAUGAUCAGCCACAUUGGGACUGAGACACGGCCCAAACUCCUACGGGAGGCAGCAGUAGGGAAUCUUGCACAAUGGAGGAAACUCUGAUGCAGCGAUGCCGCGUGAGUGAAGAAGGCCCUUGGGUUGUAAAGCUCUUUCGUCGGGGAAGAAAAUGACUGUACCCGAAUAAGAAGGUCCGGCUAACUUCGUGCCAGCAGCCGCGGUAAUACGAAGGGACCUAGCGUAGUUCGGAAUUACUGGGCUUAAAGAGUUCGUAGGUGGUUAAAAAAGUUGGUGGUGAAAUCCCAGAGCUUAACUCUGGAACUGCCAUCAAAACUUUUUAGCUAGAGUAUGAUAGAGGAAAGCAGAAUUUCUAGUGUAGAGGUGAAAUUCGUAGAUAUUAGAAAGAAUACCAAUUGCGAAGGCAGCUUUCUGGAUCAUUACUGACACUGAGGAACGAAAGCAUGGGUAGCGAAGAGGAUUAGAUACCCUCGUAGUCCAUGCCGUAAACGAUGUGUGUUAGACGUUGGAAAUUUAUUUUCAGUGUCGCAGUGAAAGCAAUAAACACACCGCCUGGGGAGUACGACCGC